UCCUCUCACUACCGCUCCCCCCUCUCCCCCCGUGCCCCACAAACCGGCUUAUUUGGUUACGGAAAACGACAUUCAAUCAUCAACAGAAGGAUUGUUUGAGAAAAAUAAAGCGAGUACGAGGCUUCGCAGCGCCUCCACAUAUUUUAAGACAUGUUUUGGCCGAAAUUAUUUCUGUUUAUUUGUUCCCUUGUUCUUGCCAAGUGUGCUACCGGCAAGGAGAAUGUCAGAGAUGGAGCGCUCAAUCUUAUUCCUGGAGAAACACUUCGUUGUUGUGAUUCAUUACGAGCCAGAGAGCUGCAGACGUACUGCUACAGUGGCAGACCGAAACACAUCUUACACAUUUGGCAGACUGUUUUGCUGAAGAUUCAAACGACCUCUGACAAUUUUGAAAUCUAUGAUGGAGGAUCUCCAGAGGCAGUUCAGGCGGCCUACGAACAACAUCAGUCAUCGUGGAGUUUCAACUUGAUUUGGGGUGCUCGGAAAGGAAGAGAGGUGAAGCUCUCUCCCUUCAAUCGUAGCUGUAUUGGCAUUAGUAGUUCAAAAGACUAUUCCGUGUACUUACAUGUGAUUCGUGUAGAUUAUUGGCGAGUCUUACUCUUAGUAUGUGGACUUAUCUUGUUUUUAUCAGCUCCUCGCCUGUGCGAAAACACUCUGUUUUAUUAUAUAAAUGGUGUUUCUAUCGGAAUGUUAGCAUCAUUCCUUAUUCUUAUAUACAUGAUCAGUCGUCUACUUCCUAGAAAACCUAUGAUGUAUGGAUUUGUGUUUGGAGGGUGGGCUGUGGUGGUGUACCUCUUCCAAAUGUUAUGGGACAACCUGCGGAUUGUACUUGUAGAUUACAGACUCUACGUCCUGUCAUACGUUGCCAUUACAGGAUUCCUGAGUUUCAUCGUAUGCUACAGAUUUGGUCCUGUUACUGAUAAACGUAGUAUAAACCUUAUCAAGUGGUCACUUCAGGGCAUCUCUAUGAUCAUAAUCCUAUGCAGCAGCCAAUUCCAGGAAGCAACUGUUGCCAUUGUCCUUAUUCUUGUUGCACUUUACAACUUUCCCAAAGUAUAUCGUGGUCACCAUAAUAACAAUGUGGAGAAUGAAUAUGCAAGCCCUAGAAAACGAUUCAAACAUUCUAAUGAAAAUAAAAGUACUUAGCCACUUCAGUUUAACUUUGUAUAAAUUUAAUAAAUAUGUAUCAUUAUUCUAGUAUCAAUCAAAAUAAAUCCUCUCCAUUCAUUGACCAUAGUCCUUAACAUUCUAAAGCUCUUUGAAGAGUUUUCUUUGCUUUAUAUUUACUGUAUUGUUUUAGUAUGUGUCCAAUUUCAUGUGUAAAUAAUAGCAUAUUUUAUGAAAUGUAGGUAGUCAUUGUAAUAACAUUCCAUAAGUUCUUCUCCACUUUGUUUUUGUUUUCUUGUUCACCUUUUCCUAUGCAUGCUAAUUAGGAAAAUGUGGAAACGACGUUUUCCCCCUAAAGUUGAGCUGUUGUCAGAUGACCAAUACCAUGAGCAGGGAGUUCGUGAGACUCAAAAAGCUCUUGAUGAGCUGCGGGGUUACUGUUCAAGCCCUGACUGCAACCAGUGGAAAACAGUUC
rnacentral:misc_RNA from 1 species